UUAGAAAAUUUAAGGCAUUGCAGGUGUGACUGUUCUGUCACAUGCGUGUCAGUAGGUAUCCAAGAGGAGAGAGAAUAUGUUUAUGCUUAGUGAUCUUACCUAAGAACAUGUGAAUGGGUAGCCUAACAUU